rnacentral:tRNA from 1 species
GGCGCCAUCGUCUAACGGUUAGGACACCGCCCCUUCAAGGCGGUAAUACGGGUCCGACUCCCGUUGGCGCCG